rnacentral:lncRNA from 10 species
AGAAGAAGAAGAAGAAGAAGAAGAAGAAGAAGAAGAAGAAGAAGAAGAAGAAGAAGAAGAAGAGGAAGAAGAAAUCCUGAGUAAUCAGAAGCCUUCCCUGGAAGAGGCCCUUUCUCCUUGCCUCUCUGAGUGAGCCCUGGCCAGUCUCCUCACCUCAGGCAAAUUGACAUAAGAAAAUGACUCUGGUCAGAUUAAAUCAAGAUGGCAGCCUACGCACCUGUAACUUUGUUCUCAUCCUCCCCACUUCAAAUCCCUUAAAAUAUUACAAUGGCAAAAUAAACAAGAGCAGUAUAAUUAAAGGAAAGUGUACCAUCAGCAGUCCAGAAAUUGUGAAGAAUCCCCUGAGGAUAGAAAUCAGUUAGAAUCAUAUUGAUAAGAGAGGAAGAGAAGCCUGGUCCAAAACCUGCAAGAGAAGAUUACGGGAGUAAAUCCAGAGAAAAUCAAAUUUCAGAAUAAAUAAAUGCAAACGCAUGGGAAGGGGGAACUUCCAGUUAAUUAAAGAAUUGCAUUCACUACAAUUGGAAUGGAGCAGUUAAAAAAACAAACAAAUGAGAACUAUAUUCAGAAAAGAAGGGUCACUUCUGUGGCUGUUUCUGUCCUUCCUUCCCCCCAACUUAUUCCAAGGUUAAAACCUAGAAUUUCACACUAAAGAAAGCGAACUACUUGCUUCCAAAGGUUUGCUAAUGUGAGUGUAGGAUCCUAGAAAAACGAAAACAACAGAACAGACCUUUGUGUAAUCUGGACUUUCAGGAAAUAUAGGGAAAAAAACAGAAGCAGUUUUGAUCGUGAGAGAAAUACACUCCUGAGUAAUACCAGUGAAACUGCCUUUGCAAAAUUAUGACAGUAAAAGGCCUUUAUGCUUUUUCCCUUCUUGGAUCUUGUUUUUUGAGGAAAAGGUUUUUUUCUUCCCAGUUGACUGAAUUAUGUUUCUCCAUUUACUUCUGUCUGCCCUCUUGCCACCCUUGAUGCCCACAUGAGAGGACC